rnacentral:rRNA from 1 species
UACGAAGGGUGCAAACGUUGCUCGGAAUUAUUGGGCGUAAAGAGCUCGUAGGCGGUUUGUCGCGUCUGCCGUGAAAGUCCGGGGCUCAACUCCGGAUCUGCAGUGGGUACGGGCAGACUAGAGUGAUGUAGGGGAGACUGGAAUUCCUGGUGUAGCGGUGAAAUGCGCAGAUAUCAGGAGGAACACCGAUGGCGAAGGCAGGUCUCUGGGCAUUAACUGACGCUGAGGAGCGAAAGCAUGGGGAGCAAACAGG